GGGGGCGGCAUUUGGCUUGACAACCAGGUAGGCGUGCCCUGAAUGAGACCUCAACCUAUUAACUAGCUUCAUGUAUGUAUCCUCCACGGCUAGCUUCUUAGAGGGACUAUGACCAUUUAGGCCAUAGAAGUUUGAGGCAAUAACAGGUCUGUGAUGCCCU
rnacentral:ncRNA from 1 species